UUUAAAGAGAGUUUGAUCCUGGCUCAGGACGAACGCUGGCGGCGUGCCUAAUACAUGCAAGUCGAACGAACGGAGGAAGAGCUUGCUCUUCCAAUGUUAGUGGCGGACGGGUGAGUAACACGUGGGCAACCUGCCUGUAAGUUGGGGAUAACUCCGGGAAACCGGGGCUAAUACCGAAUGAUAAGAUGUGGCGCAUGCCACGCCUUUGAAAGAUGGUUUCGGCUAUCGCUUACAGAUGGGCCCGCGGUGCAUUAGCUAGUUGGUAGGGUAAUGGCCUACCAAGGCAACGAUGCAUAGCCGACCUGAGAGGGUGAUCGGCCACACUGGGACUGAGACACGGCCCAGACUCCUACGGGAGGCAGCAGUAGGGAAUCUUCCGCAAUGGACGAAAGUCUGACGGAGCAACGCCGCGUGUAUGAAGAAGGUUUUCGGAUCGUAAAGUACUGUUGUUAGAGAAGAACAAGGAUAAGAGUAACUGCUUGUCCCUUGACGGUAUCUAACCAGAAAGCCACGGCUAACUACGUGCCAGCAGCCGCGGUAAUACGUAGGUGGCAAGCGUUGUCCGGAUUUAUUGGGCGUAAAGCGCGCGCAGGCGGUCUUUUAAGUCUGAUGUGAAAGCCCCCGGCUUAACCGGGGAGGGUCAU
rnacentral:rRNA from 1 species